rnacentral:rRNA from 1 species
UACGUAGGGGGCGAGCGUUGUCCGGAAUCAUUGAGCGUAAAGCGCGUGUAGGCGGCUUGAUAAGUCUGGUGUGAAAUCUUGGGGCUCAACCCCAAGCCUGCACUGGAUACUGUCAAGCUUGAGUCCGGGAGGGGAGAGCGGAAUUCCUAGUGUAGCGGUGAAAUGCGCAGAUAUUAGGAAGAACACCGGUGGCGAAGGCGGCUCUCUGGAACGGUACUGACGCUGAGACGCGAAAGCGUGGGGAGCGAACAGG